GACGAACGCUGGCGGCGUGCCUAAUACAUGCAAGUCGAGCGCAGGGAAUCAUCUGAACCCUUCGGGGGGACGUUGAUGGAAUGAGCGGCGGACGGGUGAGUAACACGUAAAGAACCUGCCCUCAGGUCUGGGAUAACCACGAGAAAUCGGGGCUAAUACCGGAUGGGUCAUCGGACCGCAUGGUCCGAGGAUGAAAGGCGCUUCGGCGUCGCCUGGGGAUGGCUUUGCGGUGCAUUAGCUAGUUGGUGGGGUAAUGGCCCACCAAGGCGACGAGGCAUAGCCGGCCUGCGAGGGGGAGCGGCCACACUGGGGCUGAGACACGGCCCAGACUCCAGAGGGAGGCAGCAGUAGGGAAUCUUCCACAAUGGACGAAAGUCUGAUGGAGCAACGCCGCGUGAACGAUGAAGGCCUUCGGGUCGUAAAGUUCUGUUGUAAGGGAAGAACAAGUGCCGCAGGCAAUGGCGGCACCUUGACGGUACCUUGCGAGAAAGCCACGGCUAACUACGUGCCAGCCGCCGCCGUAAGAC
rnacentral:rRNA from 1 species